rnacentral:lncRNA from 1 species
AAAAGUUGGUAAUUAUUUUCAUUUUUGUUCAUCCUAUGGUAGAGGUCUAGUAUAUACUCUUGUAGAUAAAUUAUCCUAUGGUGUAUGUAUAUUGUCAUAUUGCCUAUUGCAUAGGUAGAUAUAUAUAUAGGUGUGUGUGUGUGUGUGUGUUUUUUUUUUUUUUUUUUUCAUAUUUUAGACAAUGAAUAAUAGUAUUUUAUGUACAUUUUUUUAUAGGUAACAUACAAUUUUAUUUGUCUAUUUUUGUAUCUGACUUAUAGGUAGUCUUCUAAUUUAUGUUCCUAACUUAUAGGUAGUAAUCUAUUUUAUGUUCAUGACUUAUAGGUAACACGAUUUAUCACUAAAUUUUUUCGUUGCUAAUAAGAACACUAUUUACCUGUAUGUUAGGUACAUAAUUUAAUGUGGGUGCUUACCUAAUUGAUUAGUAUAAUAUGUGGGCCUUUACUUUCAUUGAUUAAUUUGUAUUUUACCCAUAUAUUAGAUAAAUAUUAUCAAUGAAAGAAUUCCAAAUUUAAAUUUUGAAAUUUAAUUACAAGUAAAUAAUUCAUAAAAUUUAGAUUUUCAAUGUUUUCCUUAUUUACCUCAAAGGGUAAAAUCGACAUAAUAAAAAAUAGUAAUAAAAUCAAAGGACCUACAUCUAAAACCAAAAACGCAUGGACUAAAUCCAUUGACAGUUAAUCGUUUUGGACCUAGAUCUAAGAACCCCUUAUCUAAACCGGUGUGUUUGGGUUGUAUAUUAGUUAGUAAGGUAAGGAUAG